GCAAAGGACUAAACAAGUUUACAAACCCAACCUGAGCUUACAGCAUCUCUCACCACUGCUCUUCAGUAAACUCCAAGCCCCCUACACUGAUCUUCUUUCACUCCCUUAAGUCUGCCACCCUCCCCCCCUUCCCAGACAUUUGUCAUCUUGUGUGAUGUGCCUGAAUUCCACUAGUGUGUUGCCUCAGUUGGACCUGGACGUGCUGCCUGUUCAUCAUUUCCAAAGCCUGGACACAUGGGAUAUUGCAAAAAAAAAAAUUGAAGCAGAAGAAAAUACUUUAGGAAAAGAUUAAUACUCUGAUGAGAAGAAUGGAUAACAAAAGCUUAAGACAAGAUGAUCUGUUAAGAUUCUAUUUCAAGACUACUUUCUUCUUGUGGUCAACUGAAGGAACAGACCUGGAUUUCCCUGCUAUCCGAAGUGACAAAAGCAGUGAUAAAAUGAGAUAUUUAGGGCCCUCUCUGAUG